UACGUAGGGAGCAAGCGUUGUUCGGAUUUACUGGGCGUAAAGGGCGCGUAGGCGGCAUAUUAAGUCAUCUGUGAAAUCUCCGAGCUUAACUCGGAACUGUCAGCUGAUACUGAUGUGCUAGAGUGCGGAAGGGGCAAUCGGAAUUCUUGGUGUAGCGGUGAAAUGCGUAGAUAUCAAGAGGAACACCUGAGGUGAAGACGGGUUGCUGGGCCGACACUGACGCUGAGGCGCGAAAGCCAGGGGAGCGAACGGG
rnacentral:rRNA from 1 species